GCCCGCCCAAUGCUGCGGACAUAAUAUUUUACAAUCAAAAUAUUUUAUAUUUAUGUGAUUGAAAAAUAAAAAAAAAGCGUAAAAAUAUAUCUAAUUCAGUUUAAUAAAUAUUUCAGAAUAUUUUGCUCAUAUCUUUAUUAAUUGUAAAGUUGACUUUUCAUUAUAUAUAUUGCAUUUAAAUUCUGUGCACAUUGUUUAGUUCAAUUUCAAUUAGUGUUGAUAAUAUAAAAUGAUAAAAUAUUAUUACUUACUUAUUAUACGCUUUAAACUAAA
rnacentral:misc_RNA from 1 species